AAAAAAUGUGUGUCCCCCCCUCUAACUUUUGAACCAUAGCUGUUUUAGAGUUAUCGCAAAAAGUUUCCCCUUCAUAGUAAAAAGACGUACUAUCCACAGUUCAUCCCUUGGUUAAUAAUCUACUAUACUUUAAGCUCCAGUUUAGCUUAUUGUGACGGAAGAGUAACUACGGAACCCUACUCUGAGCAUGGCCGGAUAUAAAUACAUAAUAAAUAAAUAAAUAAACGAUAAACGAUAUAACGAGUUAAACGAUCAAAAAUGUAUAUUAUUUACUAGUGGAUUGAUUUGUUCAGGACGUCCAAAUUAUAUGAAGUGACGUUCGAUAACAUUCAGAUACUAUAAAGCUUACAAUUAUAUCAGUUACAUUUGUGUGAAUUAAAUCUAAACAGACUUAUUUUGCUAACACACUGGAAUCAUCAUGUACAUUUUAUGAAUAAAAUUAAUAUCUAAAUGACAAGCUAAUUAAAUUGAAAUUAUGGAUAUGAAACAUGGUGAACAAAAUUAUAAACGUAUUUAAUUAACAUUGAUUCAACCACAACAACACUCUAUCUUCUAUAAUAGAAGCAUAUAAAUAUUAUUUUCCUGCCGAAAUGUUCAUUUAUGUUUACAUUUAAGUGGGAUUCUAAUUAAAAGCGAAUUGUACAUUGGAAUUAAAAGCUUGAGCGCCCUUAAAAAGGUCUUUGACAAACGUUUGUACUAAUUAAUUAAAUUUAGUCAUACCUUUCCUUUGGAACCUACAUAAUUAUGUGUUUUGAUAUUGAAUACUAAAGCAUUCUCAAAGAAAUUGAUUUCUAUUUUUUUUUUGUGAUGUGUCCACUUUGAGGUAUAACAAUAAACUCGAAUUAGGUAUUCAUAUUCAUAUUUUUUAAUGUAGAGGUACCUACGUUCGUAACUUAAUUGUUAAUUUAACUGCUAACCUGUUACUUUAAAUUUGAUUACGCCAGAUUUAAUACGUCCGCGAACUUUGUUGUCUAACUAGGUACAUAGUUAAAUUAUUCACCGAAGCUACUAAUUUAAUGUUCAAUUAACAAAGUAUUUAAGUAAAUAUCCUUCUCAAACAAUUGUACCCCACCCUUACCCUGACCUUAAACAAAACAAUAACGCAUUAGAACUGUCCGUCACAGAUACAUAAUUAUACCUACAAUGCGCCGGUGAAUAGGGGAAAUGGUCCAAUCCUGGAACAAUAGUUCCCGAAACUUACCCGAGCGGGAAUUUCAUUGUCCCAGGCACGUCGCUAAUCUGCUCUGUGACACUUUACAUAUUAAGCUCGAAUUUAACUUGGAAAGUUUCAGUUUGUCAGCGUCAUUACAGUUUCUUACUAUGUUGCUAAGACCCAUCUUCACAUUUGUUUUGCACAAUAGCUAAACAAAAGGCUUUUAAAUGAAACUAUAUGUAACUAUUUAUGUAUGAUCACCUAGGAAAUUGGUACUCGAGGUAUGUAUAUUUAAAAACUGUGUGUUAGAUUUGAAAGAUCUGUCCAAUUAUCCGAAAGCUCAACGAUCGAAUCGAAAAUAAGACAUCCCUAUUAACACAAUCGAAUUAGGACAAACUCGAAAUCUCUAGAACAGUCCUAAAAUUUGGUAUUUAUGUAAAUUAAAUAUCAAAUCAGGGUCGUGAUUAUAAAAUAAAAAUGUAUCUUUUAGUUUAAUUAUACCCCGACUCGUCUUAGGCAUAUUUAUGCCUCAACAAGUUUCUCUAAUACUUACCUAACCUUAACAAGUUAUCAACCAGUUACAGAAAGUUUAGUAAAAGUUUUGGGUAGACAGGUAUUAUUUUGGCACUUCUAAAGCGAAGGAUAGGAUGCCUCAACAUUUUCAUUACACGGACUUAGUGAUUCCUUAGUUUCUUAUGAAAAUGAUUUCCUGUAUGUUUUAAAGACGACAGUGUCCACUGGUCGUUGUUGCUGUUUUAAAAUAUGGUUCGCUUCAUAAACCCACCAAAUUUGAUUUUUAUAUCAAGUGCAAUGAAUAGCAUUUUGAAUACUAAAUUUUUUUUUUUUUAAAUAUUUUCAGUAACAGGCAACUUGGGUACCUAAUUAAAAUAAAGGAUAGUUUGCAGUGCGCGCGCAGUAAAUAUUUGCGCAGCGCCCGGACAUUUGGUGCAGCAAUGUGAGUAGCAAGUCGAGGUACAUUUCGCUUACUAAAAGGAAUCCGUGUACAAACAGUAGGUAUAUUAGCGGUUCAGCCUGCCUGCUGACUGACGGAAAGACAGCUGUAAGCAACCUUUGGGCACGGAAUCCUAAAAAUUACAA